GGGGGCUUAGUUAAACGGCAUAACGGCUGUCUCCAAAACAGCAGUUGGAAGUUCAAUUCUUCCAGCCCCUG
rnacentral:tRNA from 1 species